CACUUCGCUGACGAGUGGCGGACGGGUGAGUAAUGCUUGGGAACUUGCCUUUGCGAGGGGGAUAACAGUUGGAAACGACUGCUAAUACCGCAUAAUGUCUACGGACCAAACGGGGCUUAGGCUCCGGCGCAAAGAGAGGCCCAAGUGAGAUUAGCUAGUUGGUAAGGUAAAGGCUUACCAAGGCAACGAUCUCUAGCUGUUCUGAGAGGAAGAUCAGCCACACUGGGACUGAGACACGGCCCAGACUCCUACGGGAGGCAGCAGUGGGGAAUAUUGCACAAUGGGGGAAACCCUGAUGCAGCCAUGCCGCGUGUGUGAAGAAGGCCUUCGGGUUGUAAAGCACUUUCAGUUGUGAGGAAAAGUUAGUAGUUAAUACCUGCUAGCCGUGACGUUAACAACAGAAGAAGCACCGGCUAACUCCGUGCCAGCAGCCGCGGUAAUACGGAGGGUGCGAGCGUUAAUCGGAAUUACUGGGCGUAAAGCGCACGCAGGCGGUUUGUUAAGCUAGAUGUGAAAGCCCCGGGCUCAACCUGGGAUGGUCAUUUAGAACUGGCAGACUAGAGUCUUGGAGAGGGGAGUGGAAUUCCAGGUGUAGCGGUGA
rnacentral:rRNA from 1 species